ACUCAAAUGAAUUGACGGGGGCCCGCACAAGCAGCGGAGCGUGUGGUUUAAUUCGAGGCUACGCGAAGAACCUUACCUGGGCUUGACAUACAGGUGGUACCAACCCGAAAGGGAAGGGACCUUCGGGAGCCUGUACAGGUGCUGCAUGGCUGUCGUCAGCUCGUGCCGUGAGGUGUUCGGUUAAGUCCGAAAACGAGCGCAACCCCUGGCCGUAGUUACACGUAUCUAAGGCGACUGCCCGGGGUAACCGGGAGGAAGGUGGGGAUGACGUCAAGUCAGCAUGGCCUUGAUGUCCAGGGCGACACACACGCUACAAUGGCGACCACAAUGGGCAGCCAACCCGCGAGGGGGAGCCAAUCCAGCAAAGGUCGUCUCAGUUCGGAUUGCAGGCUGCAACUCGCCUGCAUGAAGUUGGAGUUGCUAGUAACCGUGGGUCAGCCACACUACGGUGAAUACGUUCCCGGGCCUUGCACACACCGCCCGU
rnacentral:rRNA from 1 species